GUGAGCAACCUGCCCUGGACUCUGGGAUAAGCGCUGGAAACGGUGUCUAAUACUGGAUAUGAGCCUCUAUCGCAUGGUGGGGGUUGGAAAGAUUUUUUGGUCUGGGAUGGGCUCGCGGCCUAUCAGCUUGUUGGUGAGGUAAUGGCUUACCAAGGCGUCGACGGGUAGCCGGCCUGAGAGGGUGACCGGCCACACUGGGACUGAGACACGGCCCAGACUCCUACGGGAGGCAGCAGUGGGGAAUAUUGCACAAUGGGCGGAAGCCUGAUGCAGCAACGCCGCGUGAGGGAUGACGGCCUUCGGGUUGUAAACCUCUUUUAGCAGGGAAGAAGCGUGAGUGACGGUACCUGCAGAAAAAUCUCCGGCUAACUACGUGCCAGCAGCCGCGGUAAUACGUAGGGCGCAAGCGUUAUCCGGAAUUAUUGGGCG
rnacentral:rRNA from 1 species